rnacentral:rRNA from 1 species
AGCGAACGCUGGCGGUAGGCCUAACACAUGCCAGUCGAACGGCAGCACAGUAAGAGCUUGCUCUUACGGGUGGCGAGUGGCGGACGGGUGAGGAAUACAUCGGAAUCUACUUUUUCGUGGGGGAUAACGUAGGGAAACUUACGCUAAUACCGCAUACGACCUACGGGUGAAAGCAGGGGAUCUUCGGACCUUGCGCGAUUGAAUGAGCCGAUGUCGGAUUAGCUAGUUGGCGGGGUAAAGGCCCACCAUGUCGACGAUCCGUAGCUGGUCGGAGAGGAUGAUCAGCCACACUGGAACUGAGACACGGUCCAGACUCCUACGGGAGGCAGCAGUGGGGAAUAGUGGACAAUGGGCGCAAGCCUGAUCCAGCCAUACCGCGUGGGUGAAGAAGGCGUUCGGGUUGGAAAGCCCGUUUGUUGGGAAAGAAAAGCAGCAGGUUAAUACCCCGCUGUUCUGACGGUACCCAAAGAAUAAGCACCGGCUAACUUCGUG